rnacentral:rRNA from 1 species
GAUGAACGCUAGCGGCAGGCUUAACACAUGCAAGUCGAGGGGUAUAGGUUUUCGGACCUAGAGACCGGCGCACGGGUGCGUAACGCGUAUGCAAUCUACCUUUCACAGAGGGAUAGCCCAGAGAAAUUUGGAUUAAUACCUCAUAGUAUUAUGAAGUGGCAUCAUUUUAUAAUUAAAGUUCCAACGGUGAAAGAUGAGCAUGCGUCCCAUUAGCUAGAUGGUAAGGUAACGGCUUACCAUGGCGACGAUGGGUAGGGGUCCUGAGAGGGAGGUCCCCCACAGUGGUACUGAGACACGGACCAGACUCCUACGGGAGGCAGCAGUGAGGAAUAUUGGUCAAUGGACGCAAGUCUGAACCAGCCAUGCCGCGUGCAGGAUGACGGUCCUAUGGAUUGUAAACUGCUUUUGUACGAGAAGAAACACUCCUUCGUGAAGGAGCUUGACGGUAUCGUAAGAAUAAGGAUCGGCUAACUCCGUGCCAGCCGCCGCCGUAA